rnacentral:rRNA from 1 species
GACGAACGCUGGCGGCGUGCCUAAUACAUGCAAGUCGAGCGAAUCACUGGGAGCUUGCUCCUGGUGGUUAGCGGCGGACGGGUGAGUAACACGUGGGCAACCUGCCUGUAAGACUGGGAUAACUUCGGGAAACCGGAGCUAAUACCGGAUAAUUUCUUCCCUCGCAUGAGGGAAGGUUGAAAGUCGGUUUCGGCUGACACUUACAGAUGGGCCCGCGGCGCAUUAGCUAGAUGGUGAGGUAACGGCUCACCAAGGCGACGAUGCGUAGCCGACCUGGGAGGGUGAUCGGCCACACUGGGACUGAGACACGGCUCAGACUCCUACGGGAGGCAGCAGUAGGGAAUCUUCCACAAUGGACGAAAGUCUGAUGGAGCAACGCCGCGUGAGUGAUGAAGGCCUUCGGGUCGUAAAGCUCUGUUGUCAGGGAAGAACAAGUAUCGGAGUAACUGCUCGUACCUUGACGGUACCUAACCAGAAAGCCACGGCUAACUACGUGCCAGCCGCCGCCGUAAUAC